UAUACUGGUAUAUACCAUUAUUUAUACUUUUAUAUUGUACAGUAAUAAGAUUUUACUGUACAUGUGUAUAAUUGUAGUAUUUGUUUUAUAUGUCAUACAAUAUACAGCAGAGAAAGAUCUGGUGAGCUUGACUUUAGGAUUCUAGUCACAGAUCUGAAGCUAUGCCAGGUCGAUGCUAGUCACUCGGGAGACCUCCAGUGAACAUCAAGUGCUGUAAGAAGUGUACUGAUGGCUAAAUAACAACAACGACAUACUAGUAUAACCGUUGUAUGUAAAAGGCCGUGGACUGGAUUGUGGACCUUUGAAAGUCAAGCCGUUAGAGGCAUCAUGCUCUUACUUCUCCUUGCCCUUGGUUAGAAGAAUACAGCCUGCACCUACUGCUCAUCCUCUGGGUUCCAGCAAUUCAAAAAGCUAUACCUGAUUUAUAAGGCCUUGUUUCCCCAAUGACUUCGGAAUCAAUUGCAAUCAAGUGCAUAAAUGCCAGCAUGUUCUUCGAAGACUUGUCAUGCACAGAUGAGACAGGACCAGACCUCAUUUUAGUGACAACCAAUGAGCAAACCCAGUGUUAUUGAAGAAGUGUACACUGCAGUUUACCAGCUUUUGCAAUAUGAUUUGACUGUAAAUAGCCAGCAAUCAUGAUGGAGCCACAAUGAAGUAAAGGACAGCAGUACUGUUGAUGCCCACCAUUCAUCUUCACAGCCACAGAGGUACACAGGAAAACAGUUUACAAAAUAGGA